GUAGAGAUGGCUCAGUGGUUAAGAGCACUGGCUGCUCUUCCAGAGGUCCUGAGUUCAAUUCCCAGCAACCACA
rfam:Rattus norvegicus chromosome 14, whole genome shotgun sequence.